UACAGAGGCCUCGAGCGUUAGGCGGAAUCACUGGGCUUAAAGCGUGUGUAGGCGGACUUCUAAGUACCUUGUGAAAUCCCACGGCUCACCCGUGGAACUGCUUGGUAUACUGGUUGUCUUGAGCCUUCUAGGGGCGAGUGGAACAAAUGGUGGAGCGGUGAAAUGCGUAGAUAUCAAGAGGAACACCUGAGGCGAAGGCGGGUUGCUAGGCUGACACUGACGCUGAGUGCGCGAAAGCCAGGGGAGCAAACGGG
rnacentral:rRNA from 1 species